rnacentral:rRNA from 1 species
CGGCAGGCUUAACACAUGCAAGUCGAGGGGUAACAGAGGUAGCUUGCUACUUGCUGACGACCGGCGCACGGGUGCGUAACGCGUAUAGAAUCUACCUUUAUACUGGGGGAUAGCCUUUGGAAACGAAGAUUAAUACCCCAUAGUAUGUUUGAAUGGCAUCAUUUGGACAUUAAAGUUUCGGCGGUAUAAGAUGACUAUGCGUUCUAUUAGUUUGUUGGUAAGGUAACGGCUUACCAAGACUACGAUAGAUAGGGGUCCUGAGAGGGAGAUCCCCCACACUGGUACUGAGACACGGACCAGACUCCUACGGGAGGCAGCAGUGAGGAAUAUUGGACAAUGGAGGCAACUCUGAUCCAGCCAUGCCGCGUGUAGGAAGACUGCCCUAUGGGUUGUAAACUACUUUUAUAUGGGAAGAAUAAGGUCUACGUGUAGACUGAUGACGGUACCAUAAGAAUAAGCACCGGCUAACUCCGUGCCAGCAGCCGCGGUAAUACGGAGGGUGCAAGCGUUAUCCGGAAUCAUUGGGUUUAAAGGGUCCGUAGGCGGGCAUAUAAGUCAGUGGUGAAAGUCUGUGGCUCAACCAUAGAAUUGCCAUUGAUACUGUAUGUCUUGAAUUAUUGUGAAGUGGUUAGAAUAUGUAGUGUAGCGGUGAAAUGCUUAGAGAUUACAUAGAAUACCGAUUGCGAAGGCAGAUCACUAACAAUAUAUUGACGCUGAUGGACGAAAGCGUAGGUAGCGAACAGGAUUAGAUACCCUGGUAGUCUACGCCGUAAACGAUGGAUACUAGUUGUUUGGUUUUCGGACUGAGUGACUAAGCGAAAGUGAUAAGUAUCCCACCUGGGGAGUACG